rnacentral:rRNA from 1 species
GAUGAACGCUGGCGGCGUGCCUAAUACAUGCAAGUCGAGCGAACGGACGAGAAGCUUGCUUCUCUGAUGUUAGCGGCGGACGGGUGAGUAACACGUGGAUAACCUACCUAUAAGACUGGGAUAACUUCGGGAAACCGGAGCUAAUACCGGAUAAUAUUUUGAACCGCAUGGUUCAAAAGUGAAAGACGGUCUUGCUGUCACUUAUAGAUGGAUCCGCGCUGCAUUAGCUAGUUGGUAAGGUAACGGCUUACCAAGGCAACGAUGCAUAGCCGACCUGAGAGGGUGAUCGGCCACACUGGAACUGAGACACGGUCCAGACUCCUACGGGAGGCAGCAGUAGGGAAUCUUCCGCAAUGGGCGAAAGCCUGACGGAGCAACGCCGCGUGAGUGAUGAAGGUCUUCGGAUCGUAAAACUCUGUUAUUAGGGAAGAACAUAUGUGUAAGUAACUGUGCACAUCUUGACGGUACCUAAUCAGAAAGCCACGGCUAACUACGUGCCAGCAGCCGCGGUAAUACGUAGGUGGCAAGCGUUAUCCGGAAUUAUUGGGCGUAAAGCGCGCGUAGGCGGUUUUUUAAGUCUGAUGUGAAAGCCCACGGCUCAACCGUGGAGGGUCAUUGGAAACUGGAAAACUUGAGUGCAGUAGAGGAAAGUGGAAUUCCAUGUGUAGCGGUGAAAUGCGCAGAGAUAUGGAGGAACACCAGUGGCGAAGGCGACUUUCUGGUCUGUAACUGACGCUGAUGUGCGAAAGCGUGGGGAUCAAACAGGAUUAGAUACCCUGGUAGUCCACGCCGUAAACGAUGAGUGCUGAGUGUUAGGGGGUUUCCGCCCCUUAGUGCUGCAGCUAACGCAUUAAGCACUCCGCCUGGGGAGUACGACCGCAAGGUUGAAACUCAAAGGAAUUGACGGGGACCCGCACAAGCGGUGGAGCAUGUGGUUUAAUUCGAAGCAACGCGAAGAACCUUACCAAAUCUUGACAUCCUUUGACAACUCUAGAGAUAGAGCCUUCCCCUUCGGGGGACAAAGUGACAGGUGGUGCAUGGUUGUCGUCAGCUCGUGUCGUGAGAUGUUGGGUUAAGUCCCGCAACGAGCGCAACCCUUAAGCUUAGUUGCCAUCAUUAAGUUGGGCACUCUAAGUUGACUGCCGGUGACAAACCGGAGGAAGGUGGGGAUGACGUCAAAUCAUCAUGCCCCUUAUGAUUUGGGCUACACACGUGCUACAAUGGACAAUACAAAGGGCAGCGAAACCGCGAGGUCAAGCAAAUCCCAUAAAGUUGUUCUCAGUUCGGAUUGUAGUCUGCAACUCGACUACAUGAAGCUGGAAUCGCUAGUAAUCGUAGAUCAGCAUGCUACGGUGAAUACGUUCCCGGGUCU